rnacentral:rRNA from 1 species
GACGGAGGGUCCAAGCGUUAUCCGGAAUCAUUGGGUUUAAAGGGUCCGUAGGCGGUUUUGUAAGUCAGUGGUGAAAGCCCAUCGCUCAACGGUGGAACGGCCAUUGAUACUGCAAGACUUGAAUUAUUAGGAAGUAACUAGAAUAUGUAGUGUAGCGGUGAAAUGCUUAGAGAUUACAUGGAAUACCAAUUGCGAAGGCAGGUUACUACUAAUUGAUUGACGCUGAUGUGCGAAAGCUAGGGGAGCGAACGGG